CAGUCGCCGCGGGAAUACGAAGGGUGCAAGCGUUAAUCGGAAUUACUGGGCGUAAAGCGUGCGUAGGCGGUGAGUUAAGUCUGCUGUGAAAUCCCCGGGCUCAACCUGGGAAUGGCAGUGGAUACUGGCUCGCUAGAGUGUGUCAGAGGAUGGUGGAAUUCCCGGUGUAGCGGUGAAAUGCGUAGAUAUGCGGAGGAACACCGAUGGCGAAGGCAAUCCCCUGGGCCUGUACUGACGCUCAUGCACGAAAGCGUGGGGAGCAAACAGGAUUAGAUACCCCCGUAGUCCCUGUCUCUUAUAC
rnacentral:rRNA from 1 species